UGGGGAAUAUUGCACAAUGGGCGCAAGCCUGAUGCAGCCAUGCCGCGUGUAUGAAGAAGGCCUUCGGGUUGUAAAGUACUUUCAGUCGGGAGGAAGGUGGUAAGGUUAAUAACCUUAUCAAUUGACGUUACCGACAGAAGAAGCACCGGCUAACUCCGUGCCAGCAGCCGCGGUAAUACGGAGGGUGCAAGCGUUAAUCGGAAUUACUGGGCGUAAAGCGCACGCAGGCGGUUGAUUGAGUCAGAUGUGAAAUCCCCGGGCUUAACCCGGGAAUUGCAUCUGAUACUGGUCAGCUAGAGUCUUGUAGAGGGGGGUAGAAUUCCAUGUGUAGCGGUGAAAAGCGUAGAGAUGUGGAGGAAUACCGGUGGCGAAGGCGGCCCCCUGGACAAAGACUGACGCUCAGGUGCGAAAGCGUGGGGAGCAAACAGG
rnacentral:rRNA from 1 species